UGGUGCCAUUCUAGAUGUAUAGAUGGCUGAAAAGGGAAUCUGGUGUGAAUCCAGAACUGACGCGCAGCGGUAAAAGAGAACGAACGCUCAAGUGACACUGCACUAGAAGGUGUGGGAAGUCGAGCGAUAGGCGGUGCAAACCAUGCUCUUGAGUCCGAAGACCUGCCAGUAGCC
rnacentral:ncRNA from 1 species